UCAGCUUGUUGGUGAGGUAAUGGCUCACCAAGGCGUCGACGGGUAGCCGGCCUGAGAGGGUGACCGGCCACACUGGGACUGAGACACGGCCCAGACUCCUACGGGAGGCAGCAGUGGGGAAUAUUGCACAAUGGGCGGAAGCCUGAUGCAGCAACGCCGCGUGAGGGAUGACGGCCUUCGGGUUGUAAACCUCUUUUAGCAGGGAAGAAGCGAAAGUGACGGUACCUGCAGAAAAAGCGCCGGCUAACUACGUGCCAGCAGCCGCGGUAAUACGUAGGGCGCAAGCGUUAUCCGGAAUUAUUGGGCGUAAAGAGCUCGUAGGCGGUUUGUCGCGUCUGCUGUGAAAUCCCGAGGCUCAACCUCGGGCCUGCAGUGGGUACGGGCAGACUAGAGUGCGGUAGGGGAGAUUGGAAUUCCUGGUGUAGCGGUGGAAUGCGCAGAUAUCAGGAGGAACACCGAUGGCGAAGGCAGAUCUCUGGGCCGUAACUGACGCUGAGGAGCGAAAGGGUGGGGAGCAAACAGGCUUAGAUACCCUGGUAGUCCACCCCGUAAACGUUGGGAACUAGUUGUGGGGACCAUUCCACGGUUUCCG
rnacentral:rRNA from 1 species